UUAAAGAAAACUAUUUAAAAAUACAACCUAUUGUUGAAAAUCUCUGAAAGAAUAAUCAACUAUCCGAAAAUAUUCUUGUUAUCUUAAUUUCUAAACCACAAACCCAAAUCUACAAUAUUUCUCUAAAAAAAUGUAAACUUUCCAAAAAUAGAAGUUUUUAAGAAAAAUAUUUUAAAAUACAGUAUAUUGAUGAAUAACUUUGAAAGAAUACUCAAAUAUCCACAAAUAUUCUUGUUAUCUUAAUUUCAAAAUCACAUAUCGAAAUCUACAAUAUUUUUCUAAAAAACUUUCCAAAAAUAGCAGUGUUUACGAAAAUUAUUUAAAAAUACAACAUAUUGAUGAAAAAUUUUCAAUGGAUACUCAUCUACCCACAAAUGUUCAUGUUAUCUUAAUUUCUAAACCACAAACCCAAAUCUACAAUAUUUCUCUAAAAAAUGAAAACUUUCCAAAAAUAGCAGUUGUUAAGAAAAUUAUUUAAAAAUACAACCUAUUGAUGAAAAUUUCUGAGAAAAAUACCCAACUAUCCACAAAUAUACCAGUUGAUGAAAACCUCUGAAAGAAUAAUCAACUAUCCACAAAUAUACAACAUAUUGAUGAAAAUCUCUGAAAGAAUAAUCAACUAUCCGAAAAUAUUCAUGUUAUCUUAAUUUCUAAACCACAAACCCAAAUCUAUAAUAUUUCUCUAUAAAAAUGCAAACUUUUCAAAAAUAGCAGUUUUUAAGAAAAUUAUUAAAAAAUACAACCUAUUGAUGAAUAAUUCUGAAAGAAUACUCAAAUAUCCACAAAUAUUCUUGUUAUCUUAAUUUCUAAACCACAAACCCAAAUCUACAAUAUUUCUCUAAAAAAUGAAAACUUUCUAAAAAUAGCAGGUUUUGAGAAAAUUAUUUAAAAAUACAACCUAUUGAUGAAUAAUUCUGAAAGAAUACUCAAAUAUCCACAAAUAUUCUUGUUAUCUUAAUUUCUAAACCACAAACCCAAAUCUACAAUAUUUCUCUAAAAAAUGAAAACUUUCCAAAAAUAGCAGUUUUUGAGAAAAUUAUUUAAAAAUACAACCUAUUGAUGAAUAA
rnacentral:lncRNA from 1 species